rnacentral:rRNA from 1 species
CACGUAGGGGGCGAGCGUUGUCCGGAUUUAUUGGGCGUAGAGAGCUCGUAGGCGGCUCAGUAAGUCGGGUGUGAAAACUCCAGGCUCAACCUGGAGACGCCACCUGAUACUGCUGUGGCUAGAGUCCGGUAGGGGAGCAUGGAAUUCCUGGUGUAGCGGUGAAAUGCGCAGAUACCAGGAGGAACACCAGUGGCGAAGGCGGUGCUCUGGGCCGGAACUGACGCUGAGGAGCGAAAGCGUGGGGAGCAAACAGG